rnacentral:misc_RNA from 1 species
GAUGAAGAACGUAGUGAAAUGCGAUACGUAAUGUGAAUUGCAGAAUUCAGUGAAUCAUCGAAUCUUUGAACGCACAUUGCACUCCUUGGUAUUCCGAGGAGUAUGCCUGUUUCAGUAUCAUGAGCACUCUCACACCUAACCUUUGGGUUUAUGGCGUGGAAUUGGAAUGCGCCGACUGUCAUGGUUGGCCCUUCUAAAAUGUAGUUCUUGGCUGUCACCUAAUACAGCAGUUUGGCCUAAUAGUUUUGGCAUUCAUUGUCAAAUCUUUGGCUAACAUUUGCUCCAGGAGUCAGUCUUGAUAAUACAGAAAACUCAUUCAAAUUUUGAUCUGAAAUCAGGUAGGGCUACCCGCUGAACUUAAGCAUAUCAAUAAGCGGAGGA